CGGAUUUAAGAAAAUAAAGGAAUCUGGACUAGACCUAAUUGAGCACCAACGCGAAAGGAAGGGACUAAAUGUGAAAUUUUCCCUUUACCGCAGCAAACGCGCGGAUCCUGAGGGUUAGGAGCCGGAUCGGGUCGGAACUUGGCUACACGGCACCGUUUCAGAGCCAUUGAAGCAUGCUCAAACGGCGCCGUUUUUGAUUCGCUAUAGAGGCUCACUUAAGCCUGCUCGGCCGAACCCUAGCCACCUUCUCCCACUCUUUGCUAUCCCUUUCCUUUAGCCAAACCCUAAAGUGCCUCCUUAAACACCAAAUCGCCAUCGAGAACGACGUUUUAUGUUUCGGGUUUUGGCGUAUUGUUCUUCGACCUCAAAACCCCCUAGCUUCGAUUUCGACGAAACGACACAGGAUCGAAGACGGAUUCGCAAGGUACGGGGUGGUGUUGGCGUGUGUACGAGAGCAUGGCGCUGCUGAGGGUACGGAGGCGGUACGGAGGCCGGGGCUGCUGCGGUGCAAGCAGGAACUGCUAGGGUUUCUGUCUUGGUUUCAGUAUUUGGGGCCGUUUGGGCUCAUUUUUGGGUGUUGGACCAUUGUCUUUGGACCGUGGGGUUUAUUUGGGGAUUGGGUAUUGAUUUGGGCUUGUAUAGGGUUCGGUUUGGGGUAUUAGUUUGGGUCAAAGUCUGUAAAAGGACAUAUGAUGGACUGUUAUAAUUUUAUUUGGGUUUUUGUUUAUUUAUUUAUUUUGGGUUUCAAAGGGGCCGGGCAAAUUGGCCUGUUACAGUGUCAAUGUGGCAUAUUGGUUAGAUGUUUAAGAGAAUUAUAUAUAACAUGUUUUGGCUUGGUUUUGAGAUGCUUUGUGCAGGUUUUUAGUUUACAAAAAUGUAUGUUUUGAGGUUUUGGAAUUUUUGACUUGAAUAAGGAUCAAAGUGGUACAUUUUUGUACCACACGAGCUGACACACGAGCUGGUGACACAAUUGUGUAAUGAUUGGAAUGUAGGAGACUUCGGAACCACAUGGUUUGACCACAUAGCUGUGUGUGUGUGACACAUGGGUUGGUGACACAACUGUGUGACUACUGGAAGAAUUAAUCGAUUUUGGUUCACACGGCCAUAGUGACUUACAUGUUUGUGUGAUCUUUAUUUUGUAAAAUUUGUAUUAUUUUUUAAAUAGUUUCCAGUUUAGUUCUUAUUUGUUCUUGGGUCAACCUAAGAGCUUUCGUAAACUCGUUUGAGACUCAGUUUUGGUUGUAUUUCAUAUUAUUCAUGGAAUUAUGACACGAUUUGAUGUUUAAAUGAAAUUAAUUUCUAUAAA